GGUCUCAGUGGUCUAUCUUUCCUAUGUCCUCCUCUACUCGGUUUGGUUCAAGAUCUCCACUGAUACUUGGCAAAGUUUUUUGGAGUCUUGCUCUUGGUUCUUAUUAUGUCAACUUUUUCUGUUUGUCACCGGAGCAAUCUUCAGUCUUGGUGAAAUUCAUCGUCUUUUGAAUCUUGGAAGCGAGACAAAGAUUUGGUAACUUCGAACGUUUUUAGUUUUCAGACUCUCCUCUGUGACUCCUUUUGGCAUGUAAACAUAACCCAGUAUAUUGGUUGAUCAUUUGUCUCCC
rnacentral:lncRNA from 1 species